AAAAACAAAAACAAAAAACAAAACAAAGUAGAAGCAAUUUCCAGGAAAUUUCAAGAAAGAGAAAAACCAAUCUCUCAAUACUCUAUCUAAGAGGAUUAUAAAUAGCCUCUGCUCGUUCAAAAACAUGGCAUACAAAAGAAGAGAUGGCUACAAAGGGAUGUAUGCUUCUAUGCAUCCUCUUCCUUUCCACUCUUCUCAUCCCAACUGAGAUAUCAGCUCGCCAAAUCGUCCAACAUUUCCUUACUCCAGAGCACCAUCAGAUUGCUUAUCCCGCACUCAACAGCACUAAACCUGCCCCGAGCGGAACUCCUGCUGGUCAGCCGUAUCGACGUAAAUGCAAAUCGAAGUACAAUUGCCGUCAGACCCCUCCUUAAUUGCCUUCGGACCCCUCCUGAAUACAAGCAGUAUCAUAUCUAUAUAUAGAAGAUUGUAUGGUGUUUCUGUUCUGAAUGGACUUUUUAUACGAGGCCCGAAUUAUGUAUUUUGCUUUCAAUCACAAGUACUAAAGAAUAAAAUUGUAUUAAUAUAUCUUCGAUAAUGUUUGGAUUUCAA